rnacentral:tRNA from 1 species
UAUAAUAGAGGUUUAAAUCCUCUCACUUCC